rnacentral:rRNA from 1 species
GUCUAUAGCCGUAUCACCCUGAACAAGCCUGAUGUCUGACCUUGGAAGCUAAGAUGGGUCGGGCCUGGUUAGUACUUGGAUGGGAGGCCACCUAAGAAGACCAGGCAUAAAUA